UGAGGAAUAUUGGUCAAUGGGCGAGAGCCUGAACCAGCCAAGUAGCGUGCAGGAUGACGGCCCUAUGGGUUGUAAACUGCUUUUAUGUGGGGAUAAAGUGCGUGACGUGUCAUGCAUUGCAGGUACCACAUGAAUAAGGACCGGCUAAUUCCGUGCCAGCAGCCGCGGUAAUACGGAAGGUCCGGGCGUUAUCCGGAUUUAUUGGGUUUAAAGGGAGCGUAGGCUGUCUAUUAAGCGUGUUGUGAAAUUUACCGGCUCAACCGGUGGCUUGCAGCGCGAACUGGUCGACUUGAGUAUACAGGAAGUAGGCGGAAUUCAUGGUGUAGCGGUGAAAUGCUUAGAUAUCAUGACGAACUCCGAUUGCGCAGGCAGCUUACUGUAGCAUAACUGACGCUGAUGCUCGAAAGUGCGGGUAUCAAACAGG
rnacentral:rRNA from 1 species